ACCCCUGUGAAAAUGCCCUAAGAGCCUAAUGGCCCAAAUGGAGCGGGUAUCAGGCACACAAACUGCCCAUAACACCUAGCCCUGCCACUCCCACAAGGGUAAUCAGCAGUGAUUAACAUUGAAUAUAAACGAAAGCUUGAUUCAGUCAGAGAAAUUAGAGCCGGCAAAUCUGGUGCCAGCCGCCGCGGCUAUACCAGUAGCUCAAGUUGAUUUCCAACGGCGUAAAGCGUGGUUAAAUAAUAAUUAAAACUAAAGCUAACCUAGGAUUAAGCCGUUAAAAGCUAAUUUUUAAAUAAACCUAAUAACGAAAGUCGCCUUACUCAUAUUGAACCCACUAAAGCUUGGACACAAACUGAGAUUAGAUACCCCACUAUGCCUUGCCCUAAACUUUUACCUACCCCUCAAUCGCCAGGGAACUACGAGCUAAGCUUAAAACCCAAAGGACUUGACGGUGCCCCACAUCCAUCUAGAGGAGCCUGUCCUAUAAUCGAUAACCCUCGUUUGACCUAACCACAUCUAGCCUAUCAGCCUGUAUACUUCCGUCGUCAGCUUACCACAUGAGUGAACCUCAGUAAGCUAAAUGUCUGAAUAGCACCACGUCAAUACGUCAGGUCAAAGUGCAGCAAAUGUUGUGGGAAGAGAUUGGCUACACUCUUUAACUUAAAAGAAACGGAAACAACUUAAAAUAUUGUUAGAAGGCGGAUUUAGUAGUAAAAAGAGAGCAUCUUGCUCAUUUUAACCCGGCACUGAGGCGCGUACACACCGCCCGUCACCCUCUUCGAGCAUAACCAAACAGUAUAUAACAACCUAUAGCAGCAUAGAAGAGGCAAGUCGUAACAUGGUAAGUAUACCGGAAGGUGUGCUUGGAAA
rnacentral:ncRNA from 1 species